GUCUGGGAUAGCUCAGCUGGGAGAGCAUGAGACUCUUAACCCCGGGGUCAUAGGUUUGAGCCCCAUGUUGAGACU